rnacentral:rRNA from 1 species
UACGUAGGGUGCGAGCGUUAAUCGGAAUUACUGGGCGUAAAGCGUGCGCAGGCGGUUACUUAAGUCAGGUGUGAAAUCCCUGGGCUUAACCUAGGAAUUGCGCUUGAGACUGGGUAGCUUGGAGUGCGGCAGAGGGAGGUGGAAUUCCACGUGUAGCAGUGAAAUGCGUAGAGAUGUGGAGGAACACCGAUGGCGAAGGCAGCCUCCUGGGCCAGCACUGACGCUCAUGCACGAAAGCGUGGGGAGCAAACAGG